rnacentral:rRNA from 1 species
CAAGGCGACGAUCAGUAGCGGGUCUGAGAGGAUGAUCCGCCACACUGGGACUGAGACACGGCCCAGACUCCUACGGGAGGCAGCAGUGGGGAAUUUUGGACAAUGGGGGCAACCCUGAUCCAGCCAUUCCGCGUGAGUGAAGAAGGCCUUCGGGUUGUAAAGCUCUUUCAGCYGGAACGAAACGGUGCGCUCUAACAUASCGUGCUAAUGACGGUACCRGCAGAAGAAGCACCGGCUAACUACGUGCCAGCAGCCGCGGUAAUACGUAGGGUGCGAGCGUUAAUCGGAAUUACUGGGCGUAAAGCGUGCGCAGGCGGAUUGUUAAGCAAGACGUGAAAUCCCCGGGCUUAACCUGGGAAUGGCGUUUUGAACUGGCAGUCUAGAGUGCGUCAGAGGGGGGUGGAAUUCCACGUGUAGCAGUGAAAUGCGUAGAGAUGUGGAGGAACACCGAUGGCGAAGGCAGCCCCCUGGGAUGACACUGACGCUCAUGUACGAAAGCGUGGGUAGCAAACAGGAUUAGAUACCCUGGUAGUCCACGCCCUAAACGAUGUCAACUGGUUGUUGGGGGAG